rnacentral:rRNA from 1 species
CAAUGGGAGAAAUCCUGAAGCAGCAACGCCGCGUGGUGGAUGAAGGGUCUAUGACUUGUAAACUCCUGUAAAGAAGGAAAAAAUUCCCAUUAGAUGGGAGAUGAUGGUACUUCGGGAGUAAGCCCCGGCUAACUACGUGCCAGCAGCCGCGGUAAUACGUAGGGGGCAAGCGUUGUCCGGAUUUACUGGGUGUAAAGGGUGCUCAGGCGGAUUUGUAAGUCAGAGGUGAAAUCUUACAGCUUAACUGUGAAACUGCCUUUGCUACUGCAUGCCUAGAGUAUUGAAGAGGGUGAUGGAAUAUCUGGUGUAGCAGUGAAAUGCGUAGAUAUCAGAUAGAACACCCAUGGCGAAGGCAGUCACUUGGUCCAUUACUGACGCUAAAGCACGAAAGCGUGGGUAGC